UACGUAGGGGGCUAGCGUUGUCCGGAAUCAUUGGGCGUAAAGCGCGCGUAGGCGGCCAGAUAAGUCCGGUGUGAAAGCCACAGGCUCAACCUGUGAAUGCCGCUGGAAACUGUCUGGCUAGAGUCCGGGGAGGGGCGAGUGGGAAUUCCUGGUGUAGCGGUGGAAAUGCGCAGAUAUCAGGAGGAACACCAAUGGCGAAGGCAGCUCGCUGGAACGGAACUGACGCGUGAGGCGCGAAAGCGUGGGGAGCGAACAGG
rnacentral:rRNA from 1 species